AAUCAACGCUGGCGGCGUGCCUCAGACAUGCAAGUCGAACGCGAAAUUUCCCUUCGGGGAGAAAGUAGAGUGGCGCACGGGUGAGUAACACGUAGGUAAUUUGCCUUUGGGUGGGGAAUAACUCAGGGAAACUUGAGCUAAUACCGCAUAAUGCAGCGGCUCGACAUCGAGACAGUUGUUAAAGCGGGGGAUCGCAAGACCUCGCGCCUAAAGAGAAGCCUGCGGCAGAUUAGCUAGUUGGUAGGGUAAUGGCCUACCAAGGCAACGAUCUGUAACCGGCCUGAGAGGGCGGUCGGUCACACUGACACUGACAUACGGGUCAGACUCCUACGGGAGGCAGCAGUCGGGAAUUUUGGGCAAUGGGCGAAAGCCUGACCCAGCAACGCCGCGUGAAGGAUGAAAUCCCUCGGGAUGUAAACUUCGCAAGAACAGGAAGAAUAAGUAGAAGAUAAUACCUUCUAUGAUG
rnacentral:rRNA from 1 species